AAGGCCCCAAGCCCUUGCGGAAAUCUAUCUGUCAUUUCCGGAGCGUUUUCGGUGAAAUCCGCCGAUAGAACGCGCGUUCGACUCGGAAUUCAUCCGACGGUGCCUCGUGGUUGAUUGUAGCGUCGCUGAGCCUUGUUGGCUGGUCACCCGCGUCUUCUCGAGGGUUCGGAAACGACGGGUGAGCGACGGUGGAGUUUCGGUACGGUUUCCGGGAUUUCCGGCUGGUUCGGUAGUUGCGUUUGAGAAACCGAUUUCCGAGGGGUUAUGAUUUUGGGAUUUGUGUGAGAAUGGUCGUGUUAUUGUGUUUGUGGGUU
rnacentral:lncRNA from 1 species